CCUACGGGUGGCAGCAGUGGGGAAUAUUGCACAAUGGGGGAAACCCUGAUGCAGCGACGCCGCGUGAGUGAAGAAGUAAUUCGUUAUGUAAAGCUCUAUCAGCAGGGAAGAAAAUGACGGUACCUGAGUAAGAAGCCCCGGCUAACUACGUGCCAGCAGCCGCGGUAAUACGUAGGGGGCAAGCGUUAUCCGGAUUUACUGGGUGUAAAGGGAGCGUAGACGGCAGUGCAAGUCUGGUGUUAAAGGCGGAAGCUCAACUUCCGUAGGGCACUGGAUACUGGCGAGCUUGAAUGCGGUAGAGGUAAAGGGAAUUCCUGGUGUAGCGGUGAAAUGCGUAGAUAUCAGGAGGAACAUCGGUGGCGUAAGCGCUUUACUGGGCCGUAAUUGACACUGAGGAACGAAAGCCGGGGUAGCAAAUGGGAUUAGAUACCCGAGUAGUC
rnacentral:rRNA from 1 species